GGGGCCGACUGGUUUUGACAGCGGGUCUAAUGGUAAGGUAAGCAUGUCGAGCGCUGGGAUAUAGCUCGUAAAUAUCAUAUUUCACAAUUUAAACGGCGAGAAUAACUACGCCCUAGC
rnacentral:tmRNA from 1 species